rnacentral:rRNA from 1 species
AUAUUCCACAAUGGGCGAAAGCCUGAUGGAGCGACGCCGCGUGAGGGACGAAGCCCUUUGGGGUGUAAACCUCUUUUAGAGAGGAUGAUACGCAAGGGUAACCUUGCUAAGACAGUACUCUCUGAAUCAGCCUCGGCUAACUACGUGCCAGCAGCCGCGGUAAUACGUAGGAGGCGAGCGUUGUCCGGAUUUACGGGGCGUAAAGCGCGCGCAGGCGGCAGUGCAAGUAAGGUGUGAAAUCUCCCUGCUCAACGGGGAGGGUGCACUUUAGACUGCACAGCUCGAGGUCGGUAGAGGGGGGUGGAAUUGCUGGUGUAGCGGUGAAAUGCGUAGAGAUCAGCAGGAACACCCGUGGCGAAGGCGGCCCCCUGGGCCGUACCUGACGCUGAGGCGCGAAGGCUAGGGGAGCGAAC